rnacentral:lncRNA from 10 species
AAGAAAAUAUGCAUACCUACCAUAAAAUCCCUCUUUGAUAUUUUACAACUAAAUUAGAAGGAUCACCACCAGCAACAGCACACAUUAUAUAUGCAAUGGUAAGCAGGUGACGUACUGUUUCUUCAAUAGACCAUCGGGCUAUUUCAUUAAGACAGCAUCUUCAGACAAUGUGGUACAUGGUAGCACCGAUUUAAAUCAACAGACUGAAUAAACUACGAGAACCACUCCCACCUGCUUGAGGUCACAGUCACACCAGAAUCUCC